UACGUAGGGUGCAGGCGUUAAUCGGAAUUACUGGGCGUAAAGCGUGCGCAGGCGGUUUCUUAAGUCAGAUGUGAAAGCCCCGGGCUUAACCUGGGAACUGCGUUUGAAACUGGGAGACUUGAGUGUGGCAGAGGGGGGUGGAAUUCCACGUGUAGCAGUGAAAUGCGUAGAUAUGUGGAGGAACACCGGUGGCGAAGGCGGCUUUCUGGACAGAUACCGACGCUGAGGCACGAAAGCUAGGGGAGCAAACAGG
rnacentral:rRNA from 1 species